GAUCGGAAGGUCGCCAGUUUAUGCCCAGCCCCAGCAGACUAAGCCUCUAGGCCCGUGAUCAGAAGGUCGUCGGUAUAUGCCCAGCCCCAGCAGAGUGAGCCGCUGGGCCUGUGAUCGGAAUGUCACCGGUUUAUGCCCAGCCUCAGCAGAGUAAGCCUCUGGGCCUGUGGUCGGAAGGUCGUCGGUUUAUGCCCAGCCCCAGCAGAGUAAGCCUCUGGGCCUGUGAUCAGAAGUUCGCCGGUUUAUGCCCAGCCUCUGCAGAGUAAGCCUCUGGGCUUGUGAUCAGAAGGUCGCUGGUUUAUGCCCAGCCUCAGUAGAGUAAGCCUCUGGGCAUGUGAUCGGAAGGUCGCUGGUUUACGCCCAGCCUCAGUAAAGUAAGCCUCUGGGCCUGUGAUCGGAAGGUCGCCAGUUUAUGCCCAGCCCCAGCAGACUAAGCCUCUAGGCCCGUGAUCAGAAGGUCGUCGGUAUAUGCCCAGCCCCAGCAGAGUGAGCCGCUGGGCCUGUGAUCGGAAUGUCACCGGUUUAUGCCCAGCCUCAGCAGAGUAAGCCUCUGGGCCUGUGGUCGGAAGGUCGUCGGUUUAUGCCCAGCCCCAGCAGAGUGAGCCUCUGGGCCUGUGAUCAGAAGGUCGCCGGU